UUUGGUCUUUUUCAAGUCUCUUACCAGUUUCUCACGAGGAAGUCUUUCACAAGCAAGUCUCUCGCAAAUCUGUCGCAAGUUUUCCACUUUAGUCUCUUGCAAACCUCUCACUUACCUCCACCCAAAAAAUAAAUAAAUAAAUAGAGAAUUCCUUUAAUUUGUUUGCUUGUUUUUGUCUUCAAAAAAUUGAGAAGAAAUAAAAAAAUAACGAAAUUAUUAAAAAUACACAUAAUAGAAUAUAUUUUUGUAAUAUUUAUUUGGUUUUCUUUUUUUCUCAUCCUUAUACUCUUAGGUAGUGUUUAUUAAUCAAAAUAUAAGUUAAAAAAUGCAAGAUAUGAAAAGUAUUUUAAAUAAAAAUAUUUUUUAUUAUAUUUAUUAAAAUUAUCUAACAACUUACUAAAAAGAAGUCACACCAUUUCUUAUAUAAGAUCUUACAAAUAAAUUUAUAUUUUUCUCUCUAAAUUACAGAUAAAGAAAGAUAACCUAUAUGUCUCCAAUCUCAUAAAACCCUCACCCUCCCUAUUCAUCUUCAUUUCUUUAAUCUUCAUGCUUCAACAGAGUUUCUGCUGCUGCCUUCAUCGUCAUGCUUCAAUGGUGUAAGUUUAAACUAGAUUUCCCCCUUCUUCGGUGCUAGAUUUAUUGGGUUAUGAUGGAUUGCCUUGGUUGAGUAAUUAAUGCUCGUUUUAUUUUUAUUUUUUGUCUCGAUGAUUUCUAUUUCUGUAAGUAAUGAACAUGGUUGUAUUGUUUUUAGGAAUCUUUUAACCAUUUCAUUUUGUUGGUU